rnacentral:rRNA from 1 species
UCCUACGGGAGGCAGCAGUGGGGAAUAUUGCGCAAUGGGCGAAAGCCUGACGCAGCGACGCCGCGUGGGGGAUGACGGCCUUCGGGUUGUAAACCUCUUUCAGCAGGGACGAAGCGAAUGUGACGGUACCUGCAGAAGAAGCACCGGCCAACUACGUGCCAGCAGCCGCGGUAAUACGUAGGGUGCAAGCGUUGUCCGGAAUUAUUGGGCGUAAAGAGCUCGUAGGCGGUUUGUUGCGUCGGCUGUGAAAUCCCGAGGCUCAACCUCGGGUCUGCAGUCGAUACGAGCAAACUAGAGUGUUGCAGGGGAGACUGGAAUUCCUGGUGUAGCGGUGAAAUGCGCAGAUAUCAGGAGGAACACCGGUGGCGAAGGCGGGUCUCUGGGCAACAACUGACGCUGAGGAGCGAAAGCGUGGGGAGCGAACAGGAUUAGAUACCCUGGUAGUCCACGCCGUAAACGUUGGGCGCUAGGUGUGGGGCUCAUUCCACGAGUUCCGUGCCGCAGCUAACGCAUUAAGCGCCCCGCCUGGGGAGUACGGCCGCAAGGCUAAAACUCAAAGGAAUUGACGGGGGCCCGCACAAGCGGCGGAGCAUGUUGCUUAAUUCGAUGCAACGCGAAGAACCUUACCUAGGCUUGACAUGCACGGAAAUCUCGCAGAGAUGCGGGGUCCGUAAGGGCCGUGCACAGGUGGUGCAUGGUUGUCGUCAGCUCGUGUCGUGAGAUGUUGGGUUAAGUCCCGCAACGAGCGCAACCCUCGUUCUAUGUUGCCAGCACGUAAUGGUGGGGACUCAUAGGAGACUGCCGGGGUCAACUCGGAGGAAGGUGGGGAUGACGUCAAAUCAACAUGCCCCUUAUGUCUAGGGCUGCAAACAUGCUACAAUGGCCGGUACAAAGGGCUGCGAUACCGCGAGGUGGAGCGAAUCCCAAAAAGCCGGUCUCAGUUCGGAUCGGGGUCUGCAACUCGACCCCGUGAAGUCGGAGUCGCUAGUAAUCGCAGAUCAGCAACGCUGCGGUGAAUACGUUCCCGGGCCUUGUACACACCGC